rnacentral:lncRNA from 1 species
UCCCCAGUGGCUGAAAAUGGAGAUAUUCAGGCUGAAAUGGUGGUGAGACUUCAAGCCAAGCAUGGAGGCUGGACAUGGAUUUACUGCAUGCUAUACUCGGAUGGUCCAGAAGGCCCUAUUACUGCCAAUAACUACCCUAUCAGUGACACGGAAGCCUGGAGUCUUCGCCAGCAGCUAAACUCUGAAAACACCCAGGCAGCCUAUGUCCUAGGAACCCCAGCUGUGCUACCCUCAUUCUCUGAGAAUGUCUUCUCCCAGGAGCACUGCUCUAAUCCACUCUUUACACCAGCCCUGGGGACUCCUAGAAGUGCCAGCUUCCCCAGGGCCCCUGAACUAGGUGUGAUCUCAACAUCAGAAGAGCUUGCCCAACCCUCCAAAGAACUGGACUUCAGUUACCUGCCAUUCCCUGCAAGGC